UGCGCAGGUGGGGGUGUAAGUCAGUGGUGAAAUGUUGCCGCUCAACGGUAAAAUUGCCAUUGAUACUGCAUCUCUUGAGUAUGGUUGAGGUAGGCGGAAUGUGUUGUGUAGCGGUGGAAUGCAUAGAUAUGACACAGAACACCGAUUGCGAAGGCAGCUUACUAAGCCAUUACUGACGCUGAGGCACGAAAGCGUGGGGAGCGAACAGGAUUAGAUACCCUGGUAGUCC
rnacentral:rRNA from 1 species